UAGAUUUCUUCAGAAAAGAAAGAUUAACUUCCUACUCUCCGCUGCUAAUUACCAAGAUCAGUCGCCUUGCUAAUUGCUCCCUGCUGUAUCUGAAACUCUCGAGUAGGUUUGGAAUUUGGACCUUGAAGGACACACAAAGCAGCAGCCGCAACAGCAAAAUUCUGUUCAUAUACAUAUUCUCUAGCCAGCAGGAAACGCCGCUGCCCCAGCCUGCCUGGCUGCCCACGAAUCCGCAAAACCCUAAAUCCUGACUCAGUCUCUCCAAUCCCACCCAAAAUUUGGGCAUUUGGCGGCGGCUCUCCCUCCAAUCCCACUCUCGCCGCGCGCAGCCGCUCGCUCUGCUCGCCACUCGCCUGCUGCUCGCCGCUCCGCGCCCUCUGCUCGGCCGCGCUCGCCUGCUCGCCGCUCCUCUGCUCGGCCGCGCUCGCCUGCUCGUCGCUCGCCACUCACCUGCUCGGCCGCCACUCACCUGGAGGCUUGGACUGUUUUGAUUACGAUGGAAUGAUGCAAUGUACGUGACAAGGGAAAAGAGUUAUGUAUUGGUGAAUCACCAUCUGCUGCAGCCAGCCUGUGAAUGAGUGGUUAUUACCGAUGCUAACGCUUUCUAGCAUUAGAUUAGCACUAUUGAGUUCUCACAUUCAAACUGGAAGUAGAAAUUUUAGUUCUCUAGUGAAAAGUUAUUUAUUGUUUUAGAUUAGCACUUUGUUUAUUGUUUUGCGUUAUUUAUUUUUAUAUUACUAGGAACUCGCAAACAACUGCAAGGUUCUAUUGAUGACCCAUGGAGUCAUAGUGAUAAGCGGAAGAAACAGGGAUUCAAGUGUGCUUAUUGCGGGUGUGCUAAGGAGAGUGGAGGUAAGACCCGUCUAAGGUGUCAUCUAGCUGAUUUGUCAGGAGAAGACAAGUCAUGCCUGAAUGUACCAAAGCGUGUGAGGAAGAUAAUGUUGAAUGACUAUGCAAGAGGGAAAAAGGAGGGCGGAUUAUAAAGAGCAUAAACUCUUUGUGUAUAAGGCGAUUAUGGAUCUAGCAUAUAGUGAUGCUAGAAGAGAAAAAAUACCUAGGGAUGAAGCUGAAUAAAUGGCGUGGGCAAUAAGGGAAUCAUUGUUGGAUCAAAGGGCAUCUGACAAUAGUUCACCUGUAGGCAGAAGUAGCACUGGGACAAGCAAUACCACCCCACCAUUAGCUGCAGGCUCUCGUAGGCAGAGUAGGAUGGAUAGGUACUAUCGGAGUCUAAGUGUAACUCAGGACAUAUGUGAUAUAGAUUUGCAAUGCAGUAAGAUGUCAACACAACCUAAAAUAGACAUUAUGCCAUAUGGGGGUGCCAAAGAGAGACUUGGUAAAACUUGGGCGAAAUGGUUCUAUGCCAAUGAUAUUCCUGGAAGGAAAGCAGACUGUCCAUAUUUUGUAGCAGCAGUAAAACUAUAAAACUAUCUCAGCAGCUUGGGGAAAGAGUGACUGCUCCAAGGGGAAGAGAUAUAGAUGGGUCAUUACUAAAUAUGAACUAUGAGGACCUACAAACUCACAUAGACCGAUACAAGGAAGAUUGAUGUUGCUUUGGGGUCACUAUUAUGUGUUCUUGGACAGGGCCAAACAUGAUGUGCAUUAUUAAUUUUAUGAUUUGUUGCAAUGGUCGCAUGUUCUUUCAUAAAACCGUGGAUGCAACUGGUCAAAUACAAAAUGCAGAAUUUUUUUAUGAUUGCAUUAAUGAAGUUGUUGUUAAAGAUGUUGGAGAAAGUUAUGUUGUUCAAAUUGUGACUGAUAAUGGUUCCAAUUACAAUAAAGCAUGCAAACAACUUAUAGCCGAGUAUCCACAUAUUACUUGGCAGAUAUGUGCUGCUCACACUAUUAAUUUAAUGUUGAAGGACAUAGCACGCUAUGAUGAGGUUGAUGAACAAUUGUAUAGUACUAAGCGGAUAUGCAGAUUUUUGUACAAGCAUAAUAGAUAAUAUUUAUAUUGUGGAAUUCUUGUACAAGCAUAAUAGUUAAUAUUUUUAUAGUUAAUCUGAUGAUAUUCUAAUAUUAAUCUUAUGUUAUUCUGAUUUUUCAGUAUGCAUGCUAUGAUGAAAGAGAAGAUAGGUGGAGAGCUUGUUAGAUGGAAUGCCAUGAGGUUUGGCACACUUUUUUUGUUCUUACAGAGUUUUUGGGACAGACAAGACAAGUUCGAAGCUUAGAUGAUGUCUAACGAUUGGAAAAAUAAUGAUUGAAGAGAUAAGGAAGACCACAAAAAUAACGACUAUCCUAUCUAUUAAACAAUCGUAGGUGAAUUUAUGGUCUUCCUCAUCUCUCCUAUCAUUAUUUUUCAAUCGCUAGACACCAUCCAAGUUUCGAACUUGUCUUGUCUGUCCCAAAAACUCUGUAGGAACAAAAAAAUGUGUCAAACCUUGUGUUAUUUCAUCUAACAAGCUCUCCACCUAUCUUCUCUUUCAUCAUAGCAUAAAGUUUGAAAAAAAAUCAGAAUAUCAUCAGAUUAACUAUAGAAAUAUUAACUAUUAUGCUUGUACAAGAAUUUCACAAUAUAAAUAUUACCUAUUAUGCUUGUACAAAAAUCUGCAUAUCCGCUUAGCACUAUACAAUAGUUCAUCAACCUCAUCACAACGUGCUAUGUCCUUCAAUAUUAAAUUAAUAGUGUGAGCGGCACAUGCCUGCCAAGUAAUAUGUGGAUACUCGGCUAUAAGUUGCUUGCAUGCUUUCUUGUAAUUGGAACCAUUAUCGUUCACAAUUUGAACAACACAACUCUAUCCAACAUCUUUAACAACUUCCUUAAUGCAAUCAUAAAUAAAUUCUGCAUUUUGUAUUUGACCAGUUGCAUCCACGGUUUUAUGAAAAAACAUGCGACCAUUGCAACAAAUCAUAAAAUUAAUAAUGCACAUCAUGGUUGGCCCUGUCCAUGAAUCACACAUAAUAGUGACCCUAAAGCAACCUCAAUCUUCCUUUUAUCGGUCCAUGCGAGUUUGUAGGUCCUCAUAGUUCAUAUUUAGUAAUGACCCAUCUAUAUCUCUUCCCCUUGGAACAGGCACUCCUUCCCCAAGCUGCUGAGAUAGUUUUACUGCUGCUAUAAAAUAUGGACAGUCUGCUUUGCUUCCAGGAAUAUCAUUGGCAUGGAACCAUUUUGCCUAAGUUUUACCAAGUCUCUCUUUGGCACCCCCAUGUAGCAUAAUGUCUAUCCUAGGUUGUGUUGACAUCUUACUGCAUUGCAAAUCUAUAUCACAUAUGUUCUGAGUCACACUUGGACUCCGAUAGUACCUAUACAUCCUACUCUGACUACGAGAGCCUGUAGCUAAUGGUGGGGUGGUAUUGCUUGUCCCAGUGCUACUUCUGCCUACAGGUGGGCUAUUGCUAGAUGUCUUUUGAUCCAACAAUGAUUCCCUUAGUGCCCACGCCAUCUGUCCAGCUUCAUCCCUAGGUAUUUGUUCUCUUCUAGCAUCACUAUAUGCUAAAUCUAUAAUUGCCUUAUCCACAAAGAGUUUAUGCUCUUUAUAAUCUGCCCUCCUUUUUUCCCUCUUGCAUAGUCAUUCAAAAUUACCCCCCUCACACGCUUUGGUACUUUCAGGCAUGACUUGUCAUCUCCUGACAAACCAGCUAGAUGACACCUUAGACGGGUCUUACCUUCACUCUCCUUAGCACACCCGCAAUAAGCACACUUGAAUCCCUGUUUCUUCCACUUCUCACCAUGACUCCAUGAGUCAUCAAUAGAACCUUGUAGUUGUUUGCGAGUUCCUAGUAAUAUAAAAAUAAAUGACGCAAAACAAUAAACAAAGUGCUAAUCUAAAAAAUGACUUUCCACUAGAGAAUUAAAAUUUAUACUUCCAGUUUGCAUGUGAGAACUCAAUAGUGCUAAUCUAAUGCUAGAAAGCGUUACCAUCGGUAGUAACCACUCAUUCACGGGCAGAUGAUGAUUCACCAAUACAUGGCUGUUUUCCCUUGUCCCGUACACUGCCUCCUUCCAUCACAAUCAAAACUGCAAACAAGGCAUUUCCAUCACAACCAAAACUCAAACACCUGCAUAUCAAUGGCACAUCCUUCAUAUCCUCUCUUACAUGCCAAAAGGUCUCAAUUUUAUUGAGCACACAAUCAAUAUUGGUUGGAAAGAGUAAGGAUAUGUUUUCAAUGUCAAUUUGUGGUUCUUAAGGGCUAGUUUAACAACUCCAUUUUCCGAAGGGAAAAUGAACUAAUUUCCAUUGGGAAAAUGGAAAUUCCUUAGAAAAAUGACGUUGCCAAACUAGCCCUAGUUCUUAACCCAUUUUCUUGUUUCUUAUUAUGAUAUGAUUCUUGGAUUCCAUAUGCAGGCAUCAAAGAGCUCGACCUAUCAUUGUAGAUCCAGCACUGCAGGUCCCAAAUAAAACUGAGGUUGUAACGACAAAGGAGAAAAGGAGUUCAUCUUGGGUGAUGCUUAGUCGAUCGUUCCUGGAGUUUUGCUUGCGAUGGGACAACCUUCCUCGCACACUACUGAUGUAUUUCACCAACUUCCUCUCAUCCUCAGAGGGCUACUUCCACACAGUGAUCUGCAACUCAGAGCACUACCAGAACACCACUGUCAACAGUGACCUGCGGUUCAUGGCCUGGGAUAAGCCCCCUCUGACGCACCCUGUUAACCUCACAACAGAGCAUUUUGAUGCGAUGGCAAACAACGGGGCGCCAUUUGCACACUCUUUCGCCAAUGACAAUUCAGUCCUGGAUAUGAUUGACGCCAAGUUGUUGGGCCGGGCACCUGGCCGCUUCACCCCGGGUGGAUGGUGUUUGGGUAGCUCAGUAGGCGGGAAAGAUCCGUGCACCUUCUUGGGAAGAUCCUUUAUUCUCAGGCCGACCAAAGGUUCGGCCAAGCUAGAGAAGUUGUUGAAACUUUUGGAACCUGAUAACUUCAGGCCUAAACAAUGUAAAUAGGACUCAUUUUGCAUGUAGCAUUUUGUGGGUACUGUUCAGAAGCCAAAGUUUGACGAAAUCUUUCUAGUUAUUGCGGCAGUUAGGCAUACAUACAAGUGUGUUGUUGUAUACUUGCAUCUGGAAAGCUUAUCUCAAAAGUGAUUUGAGACCAUA